AUCUGUGUCGAUCCAUCGACCGCUGAGGCGCUGAUCUCUCUCCCCCUUUUUUUUUCUCUUUCCUUCCUGACUCCUCGCGAUCGACAAGUAUUUUUUCCUGUUUUGCUUCUGCGUUACUCAUCCGAGUAGCGGGGCCUGCCGGCCGGAGGGAACUGGCUCUGGUCCACUUCCGGUCCCACUCUCGCUACCAGCGCCAGCGGUCGUUUCUUUUACAUAAUUUGGCGGCCACGGCAUUGAUCAUUGUCGCCAAUAAUCGUUUUGACGAAAGCAUUACUGUCCAAUAACCACAGUUCAUACGUUGCA
rnacentral:lncRNA from 1 species